UACGGAGGGUGCAAGCGUUAUCCGGAUUCACUGGGUUUAAAGGGUGCGUAGGCGGGUAGGUAAGUCAGUGGUGAAAUCCUGGAGCUCAACUCCGGAACUGCCAUUGAUACUAUCUAUCUUGAAUAUUGUGGAGGUAAGCGGAAUAUGUCAUGUAGCGGUGAAAUGCUUAGAUAUGACAUAGAACACCCAUUGCGAAGGCAGCUUACUACGCAUAUAUUGACGCUGAGGCACGAAAGCGUGGGGAUCAAACAGGAUUAGAUACCCUGGUAGUCCACGCCCUAAACGAUGGAUACUCGACAUACGCGAUACACUGUGUGUGUCUGAGCGAAAGCAUUAAGUAUCCCACCUGGGAAGUACGUUCGCAAGAAUGAAACUCAAAGGAAUUGGCGGGGGUCCGCACAAGCGGUGGAGUAUGUGGUUUAAUUCGAUGAUACGCGAGGAACCUUACCUGGGCUAGAAUGCUGGGAGACCGCUAGUGAAAGCUAGUUUUGUAGCAAUACACUGCCAGUAAGGUGCUGCAUGGCCGUCGUCAGCUCGUGCCGUGAGGUGUUGGGUUAAGUCCCGCAACGAGCGCAACCCCUAUCUUUAGUUGCCAACAGGUAAUGCUGGGAACUCUAAAGAAACUGCCGCCGUAAGGUGUGAGGAAGGAGGGGAUGAUGUCAGGUCAUCAUGGCCUUUAUGCCCAGGGCUACACACGUACUACAAUGGGGAAGACAAAGGGCUGCAACAUAGCGAUAUGAAGCCAAUCCCAAAAACUUCCUCUCAGUUCAGAUUGCAGGCUGCAACUCGCCUGCAUGAAGCUGGAAUCGCUAGUAAUCGUAUAUCAGCAAUGAUACGGUGAAUACGUUCCCGGACCU
rnacentral:rRNA from 1 species